rnacentral:rRNA from 1 species
AGUUUGAUCAUGGCUCAGAUUGAACGCUGGCGGCAGGCCUAACACAUGCAAGUCGAGCGGCAGCGGGAAAGUAGCUUGCUACUUUUGCCGGCGAGCGGCGGACGGGUGAGUAAUGCCUGGGGAUCUGCCCAGUCGAGGGGGAUAACUACUGGAAACGGUAGCUAAUACCGCAUACGCCCUACGGGGGAAAGCAGGGGACCUUCGGGCCUUGCGCGAUUGGAUGAACCCAGGUGGG